UUUGAAUGAUGACUUGGAUUGUCG
rnacentral:piRNA from 1 species